rnacentral:rRNA from 1 species
AUCAGAAGUGCGAAUGCUGACAUAAGUAACGAUAAAGCGGGUGAAAAGCCCGCUCGCCGGAAGACCAAGGGUUCCUGUCCAACGUUAAUCGGGGCAGGGUGAGUCGACCCCUAAGGCGAGGCCGAAAGGCGUAGUCGAUGGGAAACAGGUUAAUAUUCCUGUACUUGGUGUUACUGCGAAGGGGGGACGGAGAAGGCUAUGUUGGCCGGGCGACGGUUGUCCCGGUUUAAGCGUGUAGGCUGGUUUUCCAGGCAAAUCCGGAAAAUCAAGGCUGAGGCGUGAUGACGAGGCACUACGGUGCUGAAGCAACAAAUGCCCUGCUUCCAGGAAAAGCCUCUAAGCAUCAGGUAACAUCAAAUCGUACCCCAAACCGACACAGGUGGUCAGGUAGAGAAUACCAAGGCGCUUGAGAGAACUCGGGUGAAGGAACUAGGCAAAAUGGUGCCGUAACUUCGGGAGAAGGCACGCUGAUAUGUAGGUGAAGUCCCUCGCGGAUGGAGCUGAAAUCAGUCGAAGAUACCAGCUGGCUGCAACUGUUUAUUAAAAACACAGCACUGUGCAAACACGAAAGUGGACGUAUACGGUGUGACGCCUGCCCGGUGCCGGAAGGUUAAUUGAUGGGGUCAGCGCAAGCGAAGCUCUUGAUCGAAGCCCCGGUAAACGGCGGCCGUAACUAUAACGGUCCUAAGGUAGCGAAAUUCCUUGUCGGGUAAGUUCCGACCUGCACGAAUGGCGUAAUGAUGGCCAGGCUGUCUCCACCCGAGACUCAGUGAAAUUGAACUCGCUGUGAAGAUGCAGUGUACCCGCGGCAAGACGGAAAGACCCCGUGAACCUUUACUAUAGCUUGACACUGAACAUUGAGCCUUGAUGUGUAGGAUAGGUGGGAGGCUUUGAAGUGUGGACGCCAGUCUGCAUGGAGCCGACCUUGAAAUACCACCCUUUAAUGUUUGAUGUUCUAACGUUGGCCCGUGAUCCGGGUUGCGGACAGUGUCUGGUGGGUAGUUUGACUGGGGCGGUCUCCUCCUAAAGAGUAACGGAGGAGCACGAAGGUUGGCUAAUCCUGGUCGGACAUCAGGAGGUUAGUGCAAUGGCAUAAGCCAGCUUGACUGCGAGCGUGACGGCGCGAGCAGGUGCGAAAGCAGGUCAUAGUGAUCCGGUGGUUCUGAAUGGAAGGGCCAUCGCUCAACGGAUAAAAGGUACUCCGGGGAUAACAGGCUGAUACCGCCCAAGAGUUCAUAUCGACGGCGGUGUUUGGCACCUCGAUGUCGGCUCAUCACAUCCUGGGGCUGAAGUAGGUCCCAAGGGUAUGGCUGUUCGCCAUUUAAAGUGGUACGCGAGCUGGGUUUAGAACGUCGUGAGACAGUUCGGUCCCUAUCUGCCGUGGGCGCUGGAGAACUGAGGGGGGCUGCUCCUAGUACGAGAGGACCGGAGUGGACGCAUCACUGGUGUUCGGGUUGUCAUGCCAAUGGCACUGCCCGGUAGCUAAAUGCGGAAGAGAUAAGUGCUGAAAGCAUCUAAGCACGAAACUUGCCCCGAGAUGAGUUCUCCCUGACUCCCUGAGAGUCCUGAAGGAACGUUGAAGACGACGACGUUGAUAGGCCGGGUGUGUAAGCGCAGCGAUGCGUUGAGCUAACCGGUACUAAUGAACCGUGAGGCUUAACC